UGGGGAAUAUUGGACAAUGGGCGAAAGCCUGAUCCAGCCAUGCCGCGUGUGUGAAGAAGGUCUUCGGAUUGUAAAGCACUUUAAGUUUGGAGGAAGGGCAGUAAGCGAAUACCUUGCUGUUUUGACGUUACCGACAGAAUAAGCACCGGCUAACUCUGUGCCAGCAGCCGCGGUAAUACAGAGGGUGCAAGCGUUAAUCGGAAUUACUGGGCGUAAAGCGCGCGUAGGUGGUUCGUUAAGUUGAAUGUGAAAGCCCCGGGCUCACCCGGGGAACUGCAUCCAAAACUGGCGUGCUAGAGGAGGGCAGAGGGUGGUGGAAUUUCCUGUGGAGCGGUGAAAUGCGUAGAAAUAGGAAGGAACUCCUGUGGCGACGGCGACCACCUGGGCUAAUACUGUCACUGAGGUGUGAAAGCGUGGGGAGCAAACAGG
rnacentral:rRNA from 1 species